UAGAAAUGCUAAAUUCUGUCUGGCCAAUAGAAGAACAAGAGCAACAAACAGCGAUCUUUCUCUCUCCUCCCUCGAUUCCACCACCAAUUCCAGUCUCUUCUCUCUACUACACGACCACCACCGCCACUCCAUGGCUUCUCUGUUGCAGGCCGCCACCGCGGCCCUAACCCAAUUCCAAACGAACCAAACCGAUUACGACGGAGUGGAGUUCUGGUCGAACCCUGAGCGAACCGGCUGGCUAAUGAAGCAAGGCGAGUACUUCAAAACUUGGAGACGCCGCUGGUUCGUUCUCAAACGAGGCAAGCUCUUCUGGUUCAAGGACUCAAUGGUCACUCGCGAUUCAAAGCCACGCGGCGUUAUCCCUGUGGCCACGUGCCUUACAGUGAAGGGAGCGGAAGACUUGCUCAACAAACAGUACGCCUUUGAGCUUUCGACCAGGACCGAUACGAUGUACUUCAUCGCUGACUCGGAGAAGGAGAAAGAGGACUGGAUCAA
rnacentral:misc_RNA from 1 species